ACCAGCCAACAAACCUUGCUAAAUAAUGUUCCACUGAGCUAUAAAUGCAGAAACUGGUGCACAUUUUGCAUUCAGAGCGAGGUGCUUUUUUCACUUUUUUUUUUACACGCAAAACCAUCACCUGUGGACAAACAACAUGCCAUUGUGCCCAAAAUGCAACAAGGAAGUUUACUUCGAUCCUCAACCAGGUCCCUACAUUUUAUCCAAAUGACAUCCAUCACAUGGACACACAGGUCUAUCUGACAUCAGAAAGCUGUGGUCCUUCAGUGUGGAGCAGUCUGUGGGUCUUGGAUGCCAACUAUACAGGCAAACAACCGGUCAAUUCCCACAUCUCUAAAUAACCAUCUAUCUGCCACAGCCAUGUGAAACGUGGGCAUCCCCUUGACCUUCUCCAACCACUGGGGUCCUCAACACUCAACCUGCAUGGUAGCUCAUGCAGAGGAACACCCCGUCCAUGCAAACAUUGAACAGUGUAGGAACCAGAACAGAUCCCUGAUGAACACUCAUUUCUCCUUGGAGAAAGAAAGAAAAAAAAGUAAGCUGACAAUGAUUAAUAAAUGGAAUUGUUUUGACUGUGUUGUGCUUAGUCUGCAAAGUAAAGGUCAAAUAAUGUCAAUGUCCAUUUAUUUUCUAACAUAACUACGUAAGCAUGACACAUGGUGCAAACUAUUUUUUUUUAAUGUCCUUGUUUCCUGAAAUUACCAAUUGUUAACUAGCUGCUCCACUACUGCCAUUCAUUGUAUCAAUCACUUGGGCUUAACUCCCAAGUGAUUGCUGCAAUAUUUUUGCUCUAAACCCCUUGAAAUAAAGUUGAAA